UACGGAGGAUCCAAGCGUUGUCCGGACUCACUGGGCGUAAAGGGUGCGUAGGCGGUCCUGUGCGUCGGCGCUGAAAGCGCCCGGCUUAACCGGGCGAGGCGUGCCGAUACGAUCGGACUGGAGCCUCGGAGAGGGUGGGGGAACUCCUGGUGUAAUGGUGAAAUGCGUAGAGAUCAGGAAGAACACCCGUGGCGCAAGCGCCCACCUGGCCGAGCGCUGACGCUGAGGCACGGGAGCGUGGGGAGCGAACCGG
rnacentral:rRNA from 1 species